CCUACGGGAGGCAGCAGUGGGGAAUAUUGGGCAAUGGGCGAAAGCCUGACCCAGCAACGCCGCGUGAAGGAAGAAGGCGUUCGGGGUGGAAACUUCUUUUGACAGGGAAGAGCAGAAGACGGUAACUGUCGAAUAAGCCACGGCUAACUACGGGCCAGCAACCGCGGUGAUACGUAGGUGGCAAGCGUUGUCCGGAAUUACUGGGUGGAAAGGGCGUGUAGCCGGGCUGACAAGUCAGUGGUGAAAUCCGGGGGCUCAACCCCCGAACUGCAUUUGAAACUGGUGGUCUUGAGUAUAGGAGAGGCAGGCGGAAUUCCUGGUGUAGCGGUGAAAUGCGUAGAUAUCAGGAGGAACACCGGUGGCGAAGGCGGCCUGCUGGACUGCAACUGACGUUGAGGCCCGAAAGCGUGGGUAGCAAACAGGAUUAGAUACCCCUGUAGUC
rnacentral:rRNA from 1 species